rnacentral:rRNA from 1 species
UACGUAGGGUGCAAGCGUUGUCCGGACUUAUUGGGCGUAAAGAGCUCGUAGGCGGUUUGUUGCGUCGGCUGUGAAAUCCCGGAGCUCAACUCCGGGCCUGCAGUCGAUACGGGCAGACUGGAGUUCGGCAGGGGAGACUGGAAUUCCUGGUGUAGCGGUGAAAUGCGCAGAUAUCAGGAGGAACACCGGUGGCGAAGGCGGGUCUCUGGGCCGAUACUGACGCUGAGGAGCGAAAGCGUGGGGAGCGAACAGG